AAAUGUUCUAAAUAACAAAAAGGACAAUAGGGGUUUAAUAUGAGAGAACGUAAUUUUUUUAAAUUAUGUUUUUUCGUGUUAGAUUUUUAUUAUUUUUUUUGUUAUUUAGAAAUUUAUGUUGUCUUUUAACGUCAGGAUGUCUAUUAAGAGUGUAUGGUGUUGGA
rnacentral:misc_RNA from 1 species